CUGACGGUAGGACGAGGACAGGAGGCCUCCCAGAGCAGGUCUGAAGGAGCAGAGACAGAGCGAGGAAAAGGAGACUCCUUUCUGGAGGUGAUGGUGAUGGACUGAAGGGUUGUUCUUUGAACGGUGGAUGGAAGAUGUCUAGCGGGGCUAGGAACAGAGGAAUGGAUCGAGAGGAAUAAAUGGAUCUGAUUCCAUUGAAAGGUUGGAAGCCGGCUCUCUGUGGGGACGCGGGGCUGCAGGGCGAGGCGUGACCGGAUCGUCCAAGAGAGGCCCUGCGGCUCCGCCUCCUCUCCAGGCC